CCGGCGCGGCUGCCCGCGGAGCUGAGCGCCCUGUGCCCGCGGGAGCGGGGGCGGGAGGGAUCCCCGGUGCCCGCGGCUCCCCCGUGCCCGCCGCUCCCGGCCCUCUUCCCGCCGCGGCACUGCUGGAGGGCGCCGGGAAACUCCUGGGGGUUGAAGAAGGAAAGCCAAGCUCCAGCUGUGGGGGAGAAAACAGAUUAAAUACUUACAGUUCUGUGGGGCAGUGCAAGCACCUGAGGCGCAGGCUCUUCAGGAGCACAGGCAGCGUUUCUGAGCAGUCUCUGCCAGUGUGGGAGCUGGAGCACACCGAGAGAAAAAAGGACAACUUUCUUUUUCUCCCAUAGGAAAGUGGUUGAUUGAAAGGAAACAAUCGCUCGGUGGAACCGGCUGCCGAAAAACCAUGUGUCGGUCGGACAAGGGCUCCAGAACGAUGGCCUCGCAGGAGCAGGUCUGGCCAGUUCCAAUGAAGGCAAUUGGAGCACAAAACCUUCUGACAAUGCCUGGAGGAGUCACCAAGUCAGGGUAUCUUCAUAAAAAAGGAGGCACCCAGCUGCAGAUCCUCAAGUGGCCACUGAGAUUUGUGAUUAUCCACGAGGGAUGUAUUUACUAUUUUAAGAGCAGCACAUCUGCAUCUCCCCAGGGUGCAUUUUCUUUGAAAGGUUACAACAGGGUGAUGCGGGCAGCUGAGGAGACAACAUCAAGCAACGUGUUUCCUUUCAAGUUGGUUCACAUAAGCAAGAAGCACAGGACGUGGUUUUUUUCAGCUUCUUCUGAAGAUGAAAGAAAGAAUUGGAUGCUAUCCUUGAGAAGGGAAAUUGGUCACUACCAUGAGAAGAAAGAAAUAAUAACGGAAUUUAGUGACUCCGGUUCUGAUGCUGACAGUUUCUAUGGCUCAGUAGAACGUCCCAUUGACAUCAAGUAUUCCCAUCAUUCAGCAGAUAAUGAAGAUUAUGACCAGGAGGAAGAGGAUGAGUCUUAUUUGCAGCCAGAUACUUCUGACAUAGUGAAAGAUGACAUGGUGCUGCCCCCUGCGUACCCGCCUCCGCCCAUUCCUCACGUCAGGAAAUCUCCCUACUCCGAAGCAAGGGCACAUUCCUACUCUGGCAAACCAAGUGCACCAGUACCACCACCCCCUCCUAAGAGGAGCUUACCUGAAAUCAAACUAGAGCCACCCCCUGUGCCCCCUUUACCUGUGUUCAAAAAGCCUGCAAGCGGCAAAGAGUGUCACCCGCUGCCCCCAGAGCCUGCGCCUCCAGCCCCAGCCCUUGCUCCUCCAGAAGCGUGUGAGAAGCUGAAAACCUUAAACCUUUCCCCACGGACUCCUCCUCCUCUGCCAGCCAACAAACCCAAGUUGUCACAGCUUGCUGAAAAGCUAGCAGAGCCCAAAGUGCCAAGGGAACAUGGUAAACCUGGACUGUUUGUGCCACCUGUGCUCCCAAAGCCACCUGUGCCAAGCCACCAGCCCCCUGCAGUCAAGCCCAGAACAGAGAAAUCUUUAGGUCCCCAGUUACAGAGAUCACCACCAGAUGGACAGAGUUUUAGAAGUUUUUCAUUUGAAAAACCAGCACUACCCUCCAAGCCAAGCCAACCUGAUGAUGACUCUGAUGAUGAUUAUGAAAAAGUUGGGCUGCCUGUUUCAAUAUUUCUUAAUACCUCUGAAUCCUUUGAAGUUGAAAGGAUAUUUAAAGCUAGUAGCCCACAAGGACAACCACAAAAUGGAUUGUACUGUAUUAGGAACUCAUCUACUAAGCCUGGAAAGGUAUUGGUUGUAUGGGAUGAACCUGCAGGAAAAGUGAGAAACUACAGAAUCUUUGAAAAGGAUGGCAAGUUUUACCUGGAUUCAGACAUCCUGUUUUUGAACAUGGGAAGUUUGGUGGAAUACUACAGCACUCAUGUCUUACCCAGUCAUGACAGCCUGAUUCUCAGGUGUCCUUAUGGUUACUCCAAGCCAAGGUGACAGGACAGCCAUGGCUCAGUGACACCCUGCUGCCCCUGAGGGCAGGACUCUGCCUGUUGGACAUCCCGCUGUUUGCACACACAAACUGGGUCUGUGUCCACCUUUUAUUAUUCUCUCAUAAACUGGUAUAUAAAUUCCAUUUAAUGAACUUCUGGUAAAACCUUAGAAUCCAGAUCAGUGGAUUUUAUGGUCUUUUUCUUUACAAAGAUCUGAACUGAUUGUGCUGUGAAAGCUGUCCAGGAUACCCACACCUUUUAUAAAACUGCUGCUAUUACUAAUCUCCUUGGAAUGUUGAAGAUGAACAUGAACAGAGAAGUGAUCUGAACACAGCUGAUCUAGAAAAUGGACACUUCUGAAAUUAUGUCAGAAUUUAUUUGUGACAGGGAAUACUAAUACUCUGACUUGGAGGUACCACUCCUAAAGUCAGCAUUGGUGCUCAACUGAGAUAUUUUGUAUUACUUGUAUAGCUGAUGUGUACAUAAUGAAGAUUUCUGUGCAAAUUAUUUUAUUUACUAUAGGUAAAGAUGAUGAGGAAAUUAGGCUUUUUUUUAAGCCACCUCUUAUACCCUUGUACCUUCUGAGUACAGUAAUCACUAUCAGGUACUGUCUGGCUGAUAUGGGUGUGGCAUACACAUACUGCUUCAUGCCAUGCACUUCAGAGAAGUGUGGGACAAUAUUGAUUUGGCUUUCAUGGGAGCUCCAUUGUCUGGUUCUGAACUGGAAGGGUUCCUGCCACUGGUAUUUUUAAAGGGAAAAGAGAAAGGGCUACUUCAGAUUUUGGGGGAAGGCUAGGGAGCCAUUUGAAUGCUCCAAAUUCCAAUUAACAGUUUGAUCUCAUGUUGCCAUAGUCAAAGUUUCUUUAAAAGAAAGCACAAAAAAACACCUGAAACCAUGAUUGUGAUGCUACUAUCAAUCCAAAAAUCUUUGUGGUCACACUUUGCUGUCAGCCAGCUGCAUUCUUUUCUAUUCUAGGGCAAAACACACUACCCUAGUCUGCUACCAAGACUUCUUUUUUUAUUAAAAUUUCUACUCAGUUUGUAGUUGCAUGCAAAACAAAAUCUGUCUUUAAUCUAUUGUCAGUGAUAGACAUUACCAGGGUGCUUUUAACAUUUAUUCCCUAAUAUUUUUGGGACAUGUAUCCUAAAUCCAAGGGUCUGAUAUUUAUGCCAAAAUUACUCAAUUUCUCCUCCAUAUUAAAAUUCAGGAAUAAAUUUAGUAACCUCUUAAGUAAUUCCAUUCAUUCAAAAAUAAUGUCAUAAUGGUCUCAUACUCUAGUACUUGUAAUAAUAGUAAAACAAAUCUGCCACUCCUGAAACAAGAGAAGGCAUCUAGUUUUUAUCAGUCUGAAUUUGUAUUCAUAAACUUCUUUUUCUGUUACCCUUUAAAAGUUUAUUCAUGCUCAUUUUAAUCUUGUUACCAUUAGAUGGUCACAACUUUAAAAUCAUAAAAAAAAAAAAAAACAAGAAUUUGCUUUUUAUGAAAACAAUAAACCAGGAUUUAGUCCCUAGGGAAUUUUUCUUACUAAUCAGAUGGAAUAUAAGAAUCAUAUACAGGCAGGAAAUUCUGCCUCCAUCUUUUUCAAGAAACACAGACAUACACAGUAUCAGUCUUUUGAUCCCUGUUCCCACCGUAAUAGGGCUUAUGUGUGUAAAGAAUGUGAAGUACUUAAAAUUUAGGUUCUCUUGAAUGCUGGAUAUUUUUAAGUUUUAUUCCUUUUAUUUUAAAUUAGUAUCCCUGUGAUGCACUAUCCUGACAUUGAUGUCUCUAAAGAAGGCUCAGCCAAGACAGAAUUUAAAAACACUUCUUUGGCAAAUAUUUUUAUGUAUAUCAGAGUAAGUUCAAGUUUCUUGCAAUAUUCACACCUGUCUACAGAGUAAGAUUUUCUCUGUUGAGAACAAUUGACUGCAUUGUGUCAUUACAAUGUUAUUUAUAGUAUGCUCUCUUUGGGGCCCUCUUCAGAUAUUUGAUUGUUUGCUCAACUUAUACUCAGAAGAUUUUUAAAUUGUAAACAUCCAUUUAAACCCUAACACACUCUUUACCUGUGUAAUGCAAGAGUUGCAGAUGUGUAAAUUUUUGUGUAAUUUCCUUUUUGUAUCUAAAUGUAUAGAUUUCUGAAAUGGAUAAACUUUCUAUGCCAGUCC